ACCUUCUUCUCUCUUCCUCAUUAUCCCCAACCAAAGAAAAAAUUCUCUUUCUUCUCUCAGGAAGAGCUUAUUAAAGCUGCAAGUCCGUACUAUCUUUAAUCCCUAGUUUUGUUUCAUAGUUUCUUCUUCCCCGAACUCUGAUUUUCUAAUUCAGUUGUUUCUUCUUUGUUUACUGCCUUUCUCAAUACUGCUCAUGUUGGUGACCUAGAACGAUUCAAAAAAUCUGCAUCACUACUAAAUCAACUACUGGGAGAUGGAAUACAAGCAAUAGUUGAUAACACUAAAGAUUGAAAUGGGAGACUGGGGGAGGAAGCAUGAAUGUUCUCAAAUACUUGAUUGGGGAAAUGAGAGUUGAUAUUAAUGUUACUCUCAAGUAUUGGGGAAAUGAGAGUUGAUAUUAAUGUUAGAGGCGGAUCAGGGUGGUUUUGGUGACUUGUGUGGUGGCUGUUUGUGAGGUGUUGGUUCUGUUGGUUGUUUCUGGUGGGAUUGUGGUGGUGUCCUAACUAUUCUUUGAAUUCGUCAAUCAGUAGAGUGAAUUUUCAUUUUCGUUUUCCUGAUUCCAUUGUUGUAUUACUAUUAAUCAUGUUACGUGUUUUGCAAAAAAUCAAUACCACACUUGAUCCAUUUGCAGUGAGUUUUAUUUA